AAUAAUGCUGAUAAAGAUGAUACAUAAAUAAGAAGAAACAACUGAUCAUUCCUAGCGCAAGUGACAAAGGACUUGAUGGUAGGUUGGUAUCUGAAGUCUCUAGUUCAAAUCCUAGUUGAUUCACAUUUCUAGCUAAGUUUAAUUCUAAAUGAAAUAAAUGAAACGAAUAGUAUGCUACCUAUCUCUCUAAAAAAAAAAA
rnacentral:lncRNA from 1 species